rnacentral:rRNA from 1 species
UACGUAGGUGGCAAGCGUUGUCCGGAAUUAUUGGGCGUAAAGCGCGCGCAGGCGGUCCUUUAAGUCUGAUGUGAAAGCCCACGGCUCAACCGUGGAGGGUUAUUGGAAACUGGGGGACUUGAGUACAGGAGAGAAGAGUGGAAUUCCACGUGUAGCGGUGAAAUGCGUAGAGAUGUGGAGGAACACCAGUGGCGAAGGCGGCGAACUGGAUAGGCACUGACACUCAACAACGAAAGCGUGGGGAGCAAACAGG